UGCUCCGAGGACGUACUCCAGUUACACUGACUGUGGAGGAACCUCGUUAAAAUCUUGGUGUUAUUUUCUAUAUUGUUCUUGCAUUUUCAUUUGAUAAAUUUCCUGUGGGUUAGAUUGAGUUGGUUCCAUAAGGUUUGGUGCUAUCCUAGCACAACAAUUGGUAUCAGAGCACUGGUUGCUCUUGGGUACUGUCUAGUUGCCAAAGAUGUCAGACGGGCAAGAUGAAAAUCCUUUUGGAAGCAGCUCCGGGUUUGCAAGAACGACGGUGCAAAAUGCAAAGUUCGAAGUGGAAAAGUUUGAUGGCACAAACAACUUCGGGAUGUGGCAAUGUGAGGUCAAAGAUGUGUUGGCUCAACAAGAUCUACUUGCCGCUUUGGGAGAGAAGCCGGAAACUAUGUCGAAGCCGGAAUGGGAAAAAUUAAAUUUGUGGGCUUGCUCUUCAAUUCGGUUGUGCCUUGCAAAAACUCAGAAGUAUUUUGUGAUGCGGGAGACGGUAGCAAGUGUGUUGUGGCAAAAAUUGGAAGACAAGUAUAUGACGAAGAGUGCAGAGAACCGGCUACACUUGAAGAAAAAAGCUAUACCGCUUCCAAUACAAAGAAGGUACAAAAAUGAUUAGACACCUUGAUGCUUUUAAUAAGUUGAUUGCCGACUUGUUAAAUUUAGAUGAGGAUAUUAAGGAUGAAGAUAAGGCCUUAAUAUUGUUGAAUUCCUUGCCGGACUCUUAUGAGCAUUUUGUUACCACUAUUAUGCAUGGUAAAGAAACUGUGAAAUUUGAAGAUGUGUCAAAUGCCUUGAUGAAUUAUGAAAUGAGGCAUAGAGAUAAAAAUCAUGAUAGUACCUCUGAAGCUUUAUUUGUUAGAGGUAGAUCAUCGGAGAGGAAGUCAUCUUCUAGUAGAAAAAAAUCACACUCUCGACCUAGAGGAAACUCUAAAGGUAGAAAAACCUUGGAAAGAGAUGAAUGUGCCUUUUGUCAUAAUAAGGGUCAUUGGAAGAAGAAAGAUUGUCCUAAGUUGAAGACCAAAGGAAAAGAGAAGUUCUGAAGCCAAUGUUGCUGAGGUUGAAACAGAUGUUUUUGAUUUUGCUUUAACCACUUCCUCAUCAUUUGAUUGUGCUACUAAAUGGGUGUUGGAUACGGGUUGUACUCAUCAUAUGACUCCUCACAAGGAUUGGUUUUCAAGCUUGAAAGAGUUUGAUGGUGGCGUUGUGUUCAUGGGAGAUGACAAUCCUUGCACAACAAAAGGGAUUGGUACAGUUCGUUUGAAGUUGCAUGAUGGCAUGGUUAAAGAGUUGACAGGUGUUCGGUAUGUACCGAAUUUGAAGAAAAAUCUUAUUUCUUUGGGUACUUUGGAAUCCAAGGGUUUCAGGUUUCAUUCAGAUGGACAUACAUUGAAAGUUACUUAUGGUGCACUUGUUGUGAUGAAAGCUCCUAGAUGUGGCCAUUUGUAUUUAUUGCAGGGAAGCACUGUGACAGGUGAAGCAUCUGUAGUCUCUGAAAAUAUGGGCACAUCUGAUUCAGAUACUACUAGAUUGUGGCAUAUGAGAUUAGGCCAUGCCGGUGAGAAAGCUCUACAAGGGCUUGUGAAAAAAGGUCUUCUAAAAGGUGCCACGACCUGUAAGCUUGAUUUCUGCGAGCAUUGUGUCUUGGGGAAACAAACUAGAGUGAAGUUUGGUACUGCUGUACAUCAGACGAAGGGCAUUCUUGAUUAUGUGCAUUCGGAUGUUUGGGGUCCUACAAAGACUCCCUCUUUGAGUGGUAGACAUUGGUUCGUGACCUUUGUUGAUGAUUAUUCAAGAAGGUCUUGGGUCUACACUAUGAAGCACAAGAGUGAGGUGUUAAGCAUUUUCUUGGGUUGGAAGAAAAUGGUUGAGAACCAGACUGGGAGAAAGAUUAAGAUUUUGAGAUCGGAUAAUGGUGGUGAAUACACAUCCGAUCCUUUCUUUAAAGUUUGCAAAGAAGAAGGAAUUGUGAGACAUUUCAGUGUUCGGGGAACUCCAACUCCAACAAAAUGGAGUUGCAGAAAGAUUGAAUCGAACCUUGCUUGAGAAGGUUAGAUGUAUGUUGUCUCAGUCGGGUUUGAGCAAGUCGUUUUGGGCAGAAGCAGUUAAUUAUGCAUGUCACAUCAUCAACCGGUUACCCUCAGCUGCUAUUCAGGGUAAGACACCAAUGGAGGUAUGGACUGGAAAACCUUCUUCUGAUUAUGACUAUAUCCGUAUUUUUGGUUCACCUGCUUAUUUUCAUGUGACUGAAAAUAAACUUGAUCCUAGAGCCAAAAAGGCUAUCUUUCUUGGUUUUAGUAGUGGUGUCAAAGGUUACAGGUUGUGGUGUCCAGAGAUGAAGAAACUGGUAAUUAGUAGAGAUGUGACAUUUGACGAAGAAAGUAUGUACAAAGUCUCUGAGAAGAAUGUGAAAGAUGUCCAACAGGUGGAGCUUGAGAAAGUUGCCUCUGGUACUUCAAAUCCUAUUUCCGCUGAUGUCGAAGCCACUACAAGUGAAGAAGUGGGAGACCAUGAGGAUGUUGAAGAAGUUGAACUUGAAGAUUCUAUUCAAGUUGAAGAGCAAGUUUCACCUCAAGAGUCUAUUGCCAAGAACAGAGGAAAGAGACAAAUUACUAAGCCAGCUCGGUAUAGUGAUUAUGUUGCUUUUGCUCUUCCUAUUAUCACUGAAGAGAUUCCAUCCAAUUUUGAGGAAGCUAUUGAGAGUGAGGAGAAGAAUAGGUGGUGCAAUGCCAUGGGUGAUGAGAUGAAUUCUCUCUUGAAGAACAAGACUUGGGAGUUAGCUAAAUUGCCUAAGGGCAAGAAAGCUAUUGGUUGCAAAUGGGUGUAUGCCAAGAAGGAAGAUGCUGAUGAGAAAAGCAAUGUGAGAUUUAAAGCAAGAUUAGUUGCUAAAGGGUAUGCACAAAAGGAGGGCAUUGACUACAAUGAAAUAUUUUCUCCAGUUGUGAAACACUCCUCAAUUCGUAUUAUGUUAGCUCUUGUUGCACAAUAUGAUCUUGAGCUUGUGCAACUCGAUGUGAAGACGGCUUUCCUACAUGGUGAUUUGAAUGAAGAGAUUUAUAUGUGUCAACCGGAUGGGUAUGUAGUGAAAGGGAAGGAGAAUUUGUUUUGCAAAUUGAAGAAAUCACUAUAUGGCUUGAAGCAAUCUCCAAGACAAUGGUAUUUGAGGUUUGAUAAAUUUAUGAGAGGCCAAAAUUAUUCUAGAAGUCAAUAUGAUCAUUGUGUGUACUUCAAGAAGUUGCAAGAUGGGUCUUUCAUUUAUUUAUUGAUAUAUGUUGAUGAUAUGUUGAUUGCUUCAAAGAAUGUUGAAGAGAUUGAGAAAUUGAAGAAACAAAUGAAGAAUGAGUUUGAGAUGAAGGAUCUUGGUGAAGCGAAGAAGAUCCUUGGCAUGGAGAUCACUAGAGAUAGAGAGAAGGGUUUGGUCAGUUUGAAUCAAAGACAAUACCUUGAGAAGUUGAUUCGGAAGUUUGGAGUUCAUGAUUCAACCAAACCGGUUAGUACUCCUUUAGCUCCUCAUUUUAAAUUGAGUUCUCUACAAUGUCCUAAAAAUGAUAAAGAGAAGCUGCAAAUGAAAAAUAUACCAUAUGCAAAUUUGGUUGGUAGUUUGAUGUAUGCAAUGGUAUGCUCUAGACCGGAUAUUGCUCAUGCAGUUGGCAUGGUGAGUCGAUAUAUGCAUAAUCCAGGUAAAGAGCACUGGCAAGCAGCUAAGUGGAUAUUGAGAUAUCUCCAUGGUACUCGAAAUGUUGGUUUAUGCUUUGAGAGAGAUGACUCUGGUAUUGGUCAUUUUGCAGUUGGUUAUGUUGAUUCAGAUUAUGCAGGUGAUCUGGAUGGAAGGAAGUCUACUACAGGCUAUGUGUUUACUAUGGCUAAAGGACCAGUUUGUUGGAGGUCCAUUUUGCAGUCGUCUGUUGCCUUGUCUACUACAGAGGCUGAAUAUAUGGCAGUUGCUGAAGCUAUAAAGGAGGCCAUUUGGAUACAUGGGCUGAGAGAUUUGGGGGUUGAUCAGAAGCAAGUGGAGGUGCAUUGUGAUAGUCAGAGUGCCAUUUAUUUGGCUAAGUAUCAGGUUCAUCAUGCGAGGACCAAGCACAUAGAUGUGCGUUAUCACUUUGUUCGUGAAGUAGUUGGUGAAGGGGAGAUCAUUCUCCAGAAGAUUCCAACUAAAGACAACCCCGCUGAUAUGUUGACUAAGGUUGUUGGUGUAGCCAAGUUUAUUCAUUGCUUGAACUUGGCUCACAUUUUGCCUAUAUAAAGAAGGCGUUGAGCAGUAGGAGUUUUGAAGCAUUUUGGCUUAUCAUGGCGUCUUUCGGAACUUGGCCAAGGUGGAGAUUGUUGAAUAAUUGGCCAAGUGCCAAAUGGACAAAUGUCCAAAUGAACUUUCGGCUAAAAAAAAAAUUAUAAAGAAAAAGGUGGACAACCUUUCCUUGUUUUAGGGAAGAAAAAUGGGAAAAGUUUUCUUUCUUUUUACCACCCGUGACUUAUGGUUCUUAAUAAGUGUUUUGGUUGCUUUUGUGUGUGGGGUGCAUCCGAAAAGAGUGAAGGGAAAGAAGCAGAGAGCUCAUUUUCGGUUUGGAGAAGAAAACAGAGAGAAGAAAGAGCUCCUUUUGCAGAGAGCAAGGGAGAGUUGCAGAGAGCCUAAAACAGAAGAAGAAGUUGUUGCUUCAUUUGAUUAGUAAUCAUCAACCAAAGUAAUUGUUGUUGUAAUAGCUUUGAGCUAUAUGUAUAGAGAAGAAAUUAUUCAUUAUAUUUUCUUCUCUGUUUGUUUCUUUGGUAUGUGAGAGCUAUUGGGUGUAUUGGGUUAUUUGGGUUGUGAGAUUGCCAACACUUUGUAAACUCCCAUUUGGUUGAUAGUGGAUUAUUGGGUGAGCUCCUACUGCUCCGAGGACGUACUCCAGUUACACUGACUGUGGAGGAACCUCGUUAAAAUCUUGGUGUUAUUUUCUAUAUUGUUCUUGCAUUUUCAUUUGAUAAAUUUCAUGUGGGUUAGAUUGAGUUGGUUCCAUAAGGUUUGGUGCUAUCCUAGCACAACAAUAUAUAUACUACCAACAUUUUAGAAUAAUUACAUACAAGUAAAAUUAAUCCAAAAUACUAAUUAACUACUAUGAUCAUAAAUUGUCUACAUUAUUUCAUGCAUAGUCGAUAAGUGUAAUAAUAUUUAGUAAGAAAAUGUUGUAUUGUUAGACUUUGGUGAUUAUAGAAAGUCAGCACAUACCUGGACUGCAUAUCUUCCAUGCAUCUGUAUCGCUCCUAGGGCUUCCAAACGACGAGUAAUGUCCACCCAUUGACGACGUAGAAUGGCGGGCGCUAGCGCUAUUCGGCGUGGACGCGGGGCUCGGUGAAAACUGGCGGUUGACGGCGAAGUAAAGGUCAAGAGCGGGCAAGGUAGCGCUCAACCUCUGACCCUCCUCCUCAUUGAACCCAAACCCUAGCUCAAUGCACCCUUUGAGCUCAUGCAAAUCCUCGUCGGUCAGAUGCAUGUCAUCGGAGUCUCUGAUCCCAUUCAUCCUCCUCUCCUGGCUGAGAAUCUGGCGCUGCCGCCUCUCCCACGCGAUGUCCCUAGGCGUCUCGCACAUGGACAACUGCUUGCUCAAGCGCUUCCGGCUCAACGUCUUGGGCGGUGCCAGCGGCAUGUGUUGGAGCUCCUCCUCGGAGGACGAAAGGGACAAUAACGGCGACGAUGAUGACAUCUUCCGUCGGUGUAAGUUAUUGUCCUUCAUUUUAAAGUAACUAAUUAUUAAUUAAACAAAUUAACGUUGAGUUUGCUUAAUUAACCAAAUGCAUGCACGUAUGUACGCGGUGGUGUAGAGUAUGAAUGUAUGGUAUGACGUUUAUAUACGUGCGUGUGUGUAUAUACUCAAUCCCAAGGUGGUGAUGGU
rnacentral:lncRNA from 1 species